GGAGAGGUGGCUGAGUGGUCGAAAGCACCGGUUUGCUAAAUCGGAGACCUGGAAACGGGUCCGCAGGUUCGAAUCCUGUCCUCUCCG
rnacentral:tRNA from 1 species